AGCUCAGCUGGUCAGAGCAUGGUGCUAAUAAAGCCAAGGGUGCAGGUUCAAGCCCUGC
rnacentral:tRNA from 1 species